CCUUCUUUAGCUCAGCUGGAAGAGCAUCGGUCUGUAGUGUUUAUCAAAGUUUACCGAGGGUCGCUGGUUCGAUUCCGGCAAGAAGGA
rnacentral:tRNA from 1 species